GAUGAACGCUGGCGGCGUGCCUAAUACAUGCAAGUCGAGCGAACAGACGAGGAGCUUGCUCCUCUGACGUUAGCGGCGGACGGGUGAGUAACACGUGGAUAACCUACCUAUAAGACUGGGAUAACUUCGGGAAACCGGAGCUAAUACCGGAUAAUAUAUUGAACCGCAUGGUUCAAUAGUGAAAGACGGUUUUGCUGUCACUUAUAGAUGGAUCCGCGCCGCAUUAGCUAGUUGGUAAGGUAACGGCUUACCAAGGCAACGAUGCGUAGCCGACCUGAGAGGGUGAUCGGCCACACUGGAGCUGAGACACGGUCCAGACUCCGACGGGAGGCAGCAGUAGGGAAUCUGCCGCAAUGGGCGAAAGCUUGACGGAGCAACGCCGCGUGAGUGAUGAAGGUCUUCGGAUCGUAAAACUCUGUUAUUAGGGAAGAACAAAUGUGUAAGUAACUAUGCACGUCUUGACGGUACCUAAUCAGAAAGCCACGGCUAACUACGUG
rnacentral:rRNA from 1 species